rnacentral:rRNA from 1 species
CUAUGCGCCUUGCCAGCCCGCUCAGGUGUGCCAGCCGCCGCGGUAAUACGUAGGUGGCAAGCGUUGUCCGGAUUUACUGGGUGUAAAGGGCGUGUAGCCGGGCUGACAAGUCAGAUGUGAAAUCCGGGGGCUCAACCCCCGAACUGCAUUUGAAACUGUUGGUCUUGAGUAUCGGAGAGGCAGGCGGAAUUCCUAGUGUAGCGGUGAAAUGCGUAGAUAUUAGGAGGAACACCAGUGGCGAAGGCGACUUUCUGGACUGUACCUGACGCUGAGGCGCGAAAGCGUGGGUAGCGAACGGG